rnacentral:miRNA from 1 species
GUAUGGUAAUUAAUCUCUGGUACA